UACGUAGGUGGCGAGCGUUGUCCGGAUUUACUGGGCGUAAAGAGCGCGCAGGCGGCUGGUCAAGUCCGAUGUGAAAGCUCCCGGCUUAACUGGGAAAUUGCAUCGGAAACUGAUCGGCUGGAAGGUGGGAGAGGGUAGCGGAAUUCCCGGUGUAGUGGUGAAAUGCGUAGAUAUCGGGAGGAACACCGAAGGCGAAGGCAGUGUCCUGGCGAGUGACUGACGCUGAGGUGCGAAAGCCAGGGGAGCGAACGGG
rnacentral:rRNA from 1 species